GACGAACGCUGGCGGCGUGCUUAACACAUGCAAGUCGAACGGUGAAGCGCCUUCCUUUUUGGUGGGUGUGGAUGAGUGGCGAACGGGUGAGUAACACGUGAGUAACCUGCCCCCUUCUUCUGGAUAACCGCAUGAAAGUGUGGCUAAUACGGGAUAUUCUGGGUCUGUCGCAUGAUGGGUCUGGGAAAGAUAUUGUUUCGGUGGGGGAUGGGCUCGCGGCCUAUCAGCUUGUUGGUGGGGUGAUGGCCUACCAAGGCGGUGACGGGUAGCCGGCCUGAGAGGGUGGACGGUCACACUGGGACUGAGACACGGGCCAGACUCCUACGGGAGGCAGCAGUGGGGAAUAUUGCACAAUGGGCGCAAGCCUGAUGCAGCGACGCCGCGUGAGGGAUGGAGGCCUUCGGGUUGUGAACCUCUUUCGCCAGUGAAGCAGGCCUGCCUCGUUUGUGGGUGGGUUGACGGUAGCUGGAUAAGAAGCGCCGGCUAACUACGUG
rnacentral:rRNA from 1 species